rnacentral:rRNA from 1 species
GAUGAACGCUGGCGGCGUGCCUAAUACAUGCAAGUCGAGCGAACGGACGCGAAGCUUGCUUCUCUGAUGUUAGCGGCGCACGUGUGAGUCACACGUGGAUAACCUACCUAUAAGUCUGGGAUAACUUCGGAAAACCGGAGCUAAUACCGGAUAAUAUUUUGAACCGCAUGGUUCAAAAGUGAAAGACGGUCUUGCUGUCACUUAUAGAUGGAUCCGCGCUGCAUUAGCUAGUUGGUAAGGUCACGGCUUACCAAGGCAACGAUGCAUAGCCGACCGGACAGGGUGAUCGGCCACACGGGAGGGUAGACACGGUCCAUAGUCCUACGAGAGGCAGCAGUAGGGUAUCGGACGCAGUGGGGGAGAGCCUGGCGGAGCAGCGCCGCGUGAGAGAUGAAGAUCUUCGGUGCGUAAUACUCUGUUAUGAGUGAUGAACAUAUUUGUAAGUAACUGUGCACAUCUUGACGGUACCUAAUCAGAAAGCAACGGCUAACUACGUG